AUCGUUUUAAGCUGCUUGUCUUCUUAUUCACAACCCAAGUCCUUCUCAGUUCUAACAAUGGAGAAAGUGGGUUCGAAAACCCGAAACCUCUUAUGAUUAGCUCCAGACCCUGAACAGAACCUCUCUUUCAUGUUGUAUUCAUGGGUUCUCAGGACAUCUCAGCUGUUUCUCCUGAGCUUGCCCCCUUUAUUUUUAUUGCCCAUCACCUUGACAUUGUUCAUGUUCACCUGCUGUAAAGGGGAUAUAGAAGGGGUGGUUCUGCUGUUGGGGUUUGUGGGGAAGGGGUUUAGGCCCCUUUAAUUUGCCAGAUUGAUGGUCUAACAUGGCAAUAUGCACAAGACUUGCUACCAAGUGCGAUACCCAAAUUGGAUGAGUAGUUUAGACAAAAUACAAAGGGCCCAAUUAUAGUUACUGGAAUCUGAAAAUAUUGUUGGAAAUGGAAUGAACAAGACCAUGAUUUACACUUCAUGUGGAGAAACAAUGGCAUGGGGUUUACCUACAAGUUUGGAAAUAUGAGUUUGUAAACCAUUCUAGGAAUCAAGACAGAGGAAUAGCUUCAAUGCUCAUAAAAUUUGUUUUUGUGGAAAGUGGAAUUUUUUGAUAAAUAUUCUUUAGCCCAUCUUGUUUGUCGGUAACCUCUUUCAACAGGGGAUGCAUUGAAAUUUCUUCCUUGACAUCUCUCUUUUCAGCCUUGGCCUCAGAAUCAUCAAGGUAGUGUUGAUAGAAAUAUGAAAUAAAGCCCCAAAUAGCCAACACCAUGGAAAUUGCCUUUACCCCAUCCAUUUUGUCAUGAAAGAAGAUUACGGCAGAACUGGAAUAACAGGCAAACCCAACACACUUAUGACAUUGGAGAACAGGUAAGACACUUAAUGUAUCAAGCCUACUGUGCCGAUAUUGAAAAUCUGCCAAGCUAUAGCUGUCCAAAUCAAAGUACUGACAUAAAUAAACUUCCCCAGUUCAAACUCGUCCAUCUCUCUCUUUAGACCUUUCCACUCUCCGCUAGCAAAGAGCCCCACCAGUGUAGCACAAGUUGCUACCAGUGACUGAUAGAUUAUCAUUUCCAAAAUCACUGUAAAUGUUUCCCUUCUGAAAAUCUUAUGGAAGGAGAGCUCUGUAAGGGAAAGCAUCAAUCCGAAUCCAGCAGGGCAACAGUGCAAAAGAGUCCAAUUUCAUAAUUCACAUUAGAGUUUCCGGUGGGGUUCGUAGAAUUGGUUUGAAAUACCAGCAGGGCAGAGGAGAUGGUGAGAAGGACUAGAGAAUUGAUUAUAAAAGGAGUAAACUUCUGGGAAUUUAUAAGGAAGGAGAAGAAAGCACUGAAGGUCAACUGGGAUGCGCAAAUAAGUGCAAAAGUAGAUACUGGAAGGUGCAAGAGCCCAACUGAAUACACCAUGCUGUUUGCUGCCUGAAGAGACAUAUAUCAAAGCAAUGAUUAAGGUGGAGGGCUCAUUCCUGUGGAUACUAUUUGUAGUAGGCUUUUUGGGUGGAGAGAUGUAGUAGUAAGGAAUGAUGAUUGGGAAUCCUGCAACUUGCACUGGUGUUGCUAUCCAUUUGCUCUUUCCACCUUUGUCAUAGUAGAAUCUUCCCAAGAGUAUAGCUGCUGACUGGCCAGAGAGGACAAAGAGUGUAAAGAUGGUCAUUCGGAGCCAUUGCAUAAAGGUUCUGGGUUGAGAGAUUGUUGAUUGGUUGGUGGCAUUGAUAUGGCCAGGUGAGUUUGCUUCUUCAGCUUCUUGAACUGGUAAGAACAUGUAAAGGGAUUACUAGAGGAGAAACUUUGCUAUCUUAUAAAUUCCUUUUUAAUUUUGAUGUGUAUUGCUUUCUAACUAAUUAGUUUGUCAACAAGCAUUAUUGUUUAGCAGCAUCAAUAAACACACUCAAUCUAUGCUAUUAAUAGGUUCCUUUUUAUUCUGAAAAAUUGAGGGUCUUCCACUGAAGUGUAUUGUGCCUUCUUUGUUAACUCUUUAUGUUUUGUACUUUUCUGGCUCCCUGAUCUUUAUCAAAAGAUUCAAAACUAGUGAUGUAUAAUGUACAAAAUAUAAACUAUUUUAUAACAUUUCAUGUUGCUCUA